CUGAACUUAGUUCCACACUCCUCGGGGGUAGCCCGGAAGCCGGCUCCCCGGCAGGCGCCCCCACGGAGCGAGGGAGCGACGCCUCCGAGGAGUACCUAGCAAGGCCGAGCUCCGCACCAUGGAGAAGCAAGGAAGACCAGGGGGCCUCCCUUCAAAAAGCAUAAGCAACCAAGCAAACUAUGACACACGACAGAAUGGUGCCAAGGGAGAACUGCUAAGCACUGUUUCCCAAUUUCCUGUUACAGAAAAUAAAAUCCCACUGGUUCCAAGAGAGAACAUA